GUGGGGAAUCUUAGACAAUGGGCGCAAGCCUGAUCUAGCCAUGCCGCGUGAGCGAUGAAGGCCUUAGGGUUGUAAAGCUCUUUCGUGGGGGAAGAUAAUGACUGUACCCCAAGAAGAAGCCCCGGCUAACUCCGUGCCAGCAGCCGCGGCAAUACGGAGGGGGCUAGCGUUGUUCGGAAUUACUGGGCGUAAAGCGCACGUAGGCGGACUGGAAAGUCAGGGGUGAAAUCCCGGGGCUCAACCCCGGAACUGCCUUUGAAACUCCCAGUCUUGAGUUCGAGAGAGGUGAGUGGAAUUCCGAGUGUAGAGGUGAAAUUCGUAGAUAUUCGGAGGAACACCAGUGGCGAAGGCGGCUCACUGGCUCGAUACUGACGCUGAGGUGCGAAAGCGUGGGGAGCAAACAGGAUUAGAAACCCGAGUAGUCC
rnacentral:rRNA from 1 species